rnacentral:rRNA from 1 species
UACGUAGGGUGCGAGCGUUAAUCGGAAUUACUGGGCGUAAAGCGUGCGCAGGCGGUUCGUUAUGUCCGUUGUGAAAGCCCCGGGCUCAACCUGGGAAUGGCAAUGGAAACUGGCGGGCUAGAGUGUGGCAGAGGGGGGUGGAAUUCCGCGUGUAGCAGUGAAAUGCGUAGAGAUGCGGAGGAACACCGAUGGCGAAGGCAGCCCCCUGGGCUGACACUGACGCUCAGGCACGAAAGCGUGGGGAGCAAACAGG